GACGAACGCUGGCGGCGUGCCUAAUACAUGCAAGUUGAGCGAUGAAGCUUGGUGCUUGCACCAAUUUGAAGAGCAGCGAACGGGUGAGUAACGCGUGGGGAAUCUGCCUUUGAGCGGGGGACAACAUUUGGAAACGAAUGCUAAUACCGCAUAACAACUUUAAACAUAAGUUUUAAGUUUGAAAGAUGCAAUUGCAUCACUCAAAGAUGAUCCCGCGUUGUAUUAGCUAGUUGGUGAGGUAAAGGCUCACCAAGGCGAUGAUACAUAGCCGGCCUGAGAGGGUGAUCGGCCACAUUGGGACUGAGACACGGCCCAAACUCCUACGGGAGGCAGCAGUAGGGAAUCUUCGGCAAUGGACGAAAGUCUGACCGAGCAACGCCGCGUGAGUGAAGAAGGUUUUCGGAUCGUAAAACUCUGUUGGUAGAGAAGAACGUUGGUGAGAGUGGAAAGCUCAUCAAGUGACGGUAACUACCCAGAAAGGGACGGCUAACUACGUG
rnacentral:rRNA from 1 species